rnacentral:rRNA from 1 species
UAAGGAAUAUAGCUCAAUGGGAGAAAUCCUGAAGCAGCAACGCCGCGUGGAGGAUGAAGGGUCUAUGACUUGUAAACUUCUGUAAAGAAGGAAAAAAUUCCCAUUUGAUGGGAGAUGAUGGUACUUCUGGAGUAAGCCCCGGCUAACUACGUGCCAGCAGCCGCGGUAAUACGUAGGGGGCAAGCGUUGUCCGGAUUUACUGGGUGUAAAGGGUGCUCAGGCGGAUUUGUAAGUCAGAGGUGAAAUCUUACAGCUUAACUGUGAAACUGCCUUUGAUACUGCAAGCCUAGAGUAUGGAAGAGAGUGAUGGAAUAUCUGGUGUAGCAGUGAAAUGCGUAGAUAUCAGAUAGAACACCAAUGGCGAAGGCAGUCACUUGGUCCAUUACUGACGCUAAAGCACGAAAGCGUGGGUAGCAAACA